UCAGCAGCAGCAGGCAGCAGCAGAUUUCGCUUCAUCAGUAUAUGGAGGGCAGCAUCAUCAGAGCCGGGAGUGACGACGGGAGGAGCGGAAUUGGGCCUGCUUCUUGAGAGUUUGAUUUUCCAGGAAUGCGGGAAAUUUUAAUUUCAACCAAUUGAUUUGUUCUUCCUCCUCCUACUCACUCCCGGCUGCUGAAGAUGCCGUCGAUGGUGGAUCUGGCUGCAGGCUUUGCUAUGAAAAAGCAAAACGAUAAGAAAAGGAGCUUUGUAGAAAUGGCGGGGGGG